AGCGAACGCUGGCGGCAGGCUUAACACAUGCAAGUCGAGCGCCCGUAGCAAUACGGGAGCGGCAGACGGGAGAGUAACACGUGGGAACGUACCUUUUGGUUCGGAACAACUGAGGGAAACUUCAGCUAAUACCGGAUAAGCCCUUACGGGGAAAGAUUUAUCGCCAAAAGAUCGGCCCGCGUCUGACUAGCUAGUUGGUGAGGUAAUGGCUCACCAAGGCGACGAUCAGUAGCUGGCUGAGAGGAUGAUCAGCCUCACUGGGACUGAGACACGGCCCAGACUCCUACGGGAGGCAGCAGUGGGGAAUAUUGGACAA
rnacentral:rRNA from 1 species